rnacentral:rRNA from 1 species
UACGUAGGGUGCGAGCGUUAAUCGGAAUUACUGGGCGUAAAGCGUACGUAGGCGGACCAUUAAGUCGGGGGUGAAAUCCCAGGGCUCAACCCUGGAACUGCCUUCGAUACUGGUGGUCUGGAGUCCGGGAGAGGUGAGUGGAACUCCUAGUGUAGAGGUGAAAUUCGUAGAUAUUAGGAAGAACACCAGUGGCGAAGGCGGCAUCCUGGACCAACACUGACGCUGAGGAGCGAAAGCCAGGGGAGCAAAACGGG